rnacentral:rRNA from 1 species
AUUGAACGCUGGCGGCAGGCCUAACACAUGCAAGUCGAACGAGUGGCGGACGGGUGAGUAAUGUCUGGGAAACUGCCUGAUGGAGGGGGAUAACUACUGGAAACGGUAGCUAAUACCGCAUACCAUCGGAUGUGCCCAGAUGGGAUUAGCUAGUAGGUGGGGUAAAGGCUCACCUAGGCGACGAUCCCUAGCUGGUCUGAGAGGAUGACCAGCGACACUGGAACUGAGACAAGGACCAGACUCCUACGGGAGGCAGAAGUGGGGAAUAUUGCACAGUGGGCGCAAGCCGGAAGGAGCCAUGCCGCGUGUAUGAAGAAGGCCUUAAGGUUGUAAAAUACUUUAAGCGGGGAGGCGUUACCCGCAGAAGAAGCACCGGCUAACUCCGUGCCAGAAGCCGCGGUAAUAC